GGCAAGAGGGUUGGAUAAAUCACUGGGGGAAUCAGAUGGGUACUUUUCUUACUCAGGUUGUUGGUAAGACAUUAAUUGUAAAAGAUCAGUAGGAAAUUUAAUUCUUAAUUGGCUGUCAUAAUUUCUGUAUUGUGUUCAUUAAGUGAAUUUGGCUAAAUAUGGACAGAGCGGUGGAUGACUGCUAUGCUUCCACUGAUUGUUGCUGGAAUGGCAAAAUAGUUCCAAAUGCAGUAGGAGGUCUGUCAUGCUCAUGCAGGUCUUUGUACCACUAGACUAGAGGAACAGGCCUUUUGUCUGACUGGCUAGAGCUGGGUAUCAUUCACUGGCAAAACUGCUGACGCUGCAGAUUCUGUACUCAUGGACGGUUUUCAGUCAUUACUGAAACACGAUUAAUCUUAUGGAGCCAGCGGAUGAAAGGAAAGCCGCGCUUUCGGGACAUUGUGAGUCACAGCGGGGCCAAAGCCAUCUCAGAAGCAAGGAUGGGAAUAACCGAGGACAAGGCACCAACCUUGGAGAACCUAAAACUCCACACGGGCCCCAGAGGUGAUUAUCUUCGGCUCAGGUCACCGCGCCCUCAUCUGAAAAGCAAUGUCAUCGCAGCUUCUUCAUUUUCCAAGUUAGUGGUAAAGUAAAACAAGGAGGGGCUUAUCUGCACGGAGACACCUUCAGUCUUAUCAGCUCAUGAAAGAAAGAAGAUAAAGACCAACUCCAUUCCACUCAUAUGAACAAAGAAAACUGCACAAAGCCAGUAUCCUUAAAAUAUUAAAAAAAUCCAUCUUGUUAUUAACCUUUUCAAAAACAUAGAUUGUCCCCCAGUCUCCUUUCUCUGGUGUAUGUAAUAUUCAGAAUGCAUGUGUAUAGUUUUUUGCUUUGCUGGAAAUUGUAUUGUGAUCUACUGAGUUGAAAAGGUCAAGAAGAACACCUGCAUUGUAGUUAACCCUGAUUGGUUGUUUCACGUAUUACAUACACUACAGUGGUUUUGCUUACAGAGGUAGACAUAUUUUAUUGAUCCUAAGCGGGAAAUUCGGGUUUCAUUUCAUUACGUACCCGAUCGUUUUAUCCAGAGCUACAUACAUUUUCUACCAGUUUUUUCAAGUUGGAUUUUUACUGAAGCAAGUCAGGCAAAGUGACGCAAACGUUCUAGUUUACAGGUUCCAGGUUCCCAUUAACUGCAAAUAUGACUUAUAGCAACCUCUGCAAAUACCUAUUUAGGUUCCAGUCUCUUCCAUACACAGGCUGGUUUCUUUAAAAGGUCCAUACACGGUAAGAGAAUUUUAAUUUUAGUUCGAGUACCUGUAAUGGCUUGCAUUGUUGUGAAAGGUUUUUAAACUGAUUAAUGCAGUAAGUACUUGUCUUAAAAUCCAGUGUGUUUAAGUGCUGUGCACCAUUGAGACUAACUGUCAAAUGAAAUCAAGCAUUCUUAAUUUCUUCACAUGCUAAUACAUGUUAAUAACUAGCACACAUAUGAUGUUUUUUAUGUUUUACAGUGGUUUACAGUGAUUUAAACUUUUUAUAGGCACACGGUACCGGUACACGCCACCUGGCCAAUGUCACAAAUCUCACAGUAUGCAGAACAAAGAAAUUAUAGGAGCAGUUACUUUUUAUGUGUCAUUUUAUUACCUGGAUCUCCAUUUAAACAGGGAUCAUUUUGCAUCAUCCUAGAAAUAUGUGUUCCAUGUCCAAAUUACGCAGAAUUUUAUACCUGGAAAGCACAUGUAUUUUGAUGAAGAUCUCAUGUCAACUGUGUAGUACUUAUAUAUUAUUGGCUUAUUAUAUAUGAAAAAUAAAUCUCUGUGAAAAAGUGGAAUUCUGUUCUGGUUGUUUUAAACCGGUUAUAUAUCUAUGAAAUGGUACAAAAAAUAUAA